rnacentral:rRNA from 1 species
CCCUUAGACGUUCUGGGCCGCACGCGCGCUACACUGACCAGUGCAACAAGCAUCCGUCCUUGGCCGACAGGCUCGGGCAAUCUUUGAACGCUGGUCGUGAUGGGGAUAGACUUUUGCAAUUUUUGGUCUUCAACGAGGAAUUCCUAGUAAACGCAAGUCAUCAACUUGCAUUGAUUACGUCCCUGCCCUUUGUACACACCGCCCGUCGCUUGUACCGAUUGGAUGGUCCGGUGAAAUCUUCGGAUAGCUGGUAGUUGGCUUGCCAUCUACUGCUAAAAGUUGCUUAAACCUUAUCAUCUAGAGGAACAAGAAGUCGUAACA